GAUCCACGCCGCUCUAGCCAAUUAGAAAAUAGCUAGAGAAACUUGCGGAGCGUUAGUAACGCAGUGUCAUUCGGCCGAAAAACAUUGGUGACGAUUUAAAGUGAUUUCAAUACUACGCACUUCGAAAUUGCUGAAUGAAGAGACGAUAAGAAAGAGUGACUGACUAAUUGGAAUCACAGCCUCUUGGUAAUAAUUCAAUCUCGUUAAGCAACGUCACGGCAAAAGGACAAGUUAACGCGUUGUACUACUCGCCACUAUCGCCAUCCUGCCACACAUCGGCUUUUAACUCGAAAAAGGAACAAAAGAUGUUUCUCCUUUUCGUUUAUUCUGUUUGCGCGAUGAAACACAGGUUAUACAGAGCGAUUGCUAAUCCUGUAACGAAUUUCUAGACAAGAAACAUAGAAUUUUGUUCAUUUGGAUGCCAACAGAUGGCACAUGAUCUCUCGCGUGUUUACUGCGCAAGCUUCGAUGCGAAACGACCUCUGUCAAUAUGGCUUCCUCCAAAAAGUUAGAACGCGCGAAAUGGCAACUUCUGAAAGAAGCUUCUAUCCUCCUCUUUUCGCGGAUACAACUAAAGGCGUGACGAAAGGGAAGGUACGAAGUCUUAAAACCUUUUUAACGUCCAAGUUAUAAGAUUAUAUCCCAAGUGUUAAAAGUUGAAUAAAUCGCAAUGUCGUUCAAUCGGUAAUCGUUCGAUCUCUUUAUAAUUUACCGCGCGCUCCGAGAAUUUCUAAAUUCUACAUUGCAUCUCUCAAUUCGAUUAUGGAAUCACUAGUAAGGGAUGAAUUUUCAUUUUCUUUGGAUAUUGUGCGCAGGAAUAAUUUGAUAUUGGGAUAAGUGAAGCAAUGGACGACAACGAAGCGACGCAUAUCACUCUCUAGAUUGCGCUCUAGAUUGAACGCUGUAAUACUAUAGUUCCUCGGUAACUUGUACGUAUAUGCUGCUGCCAUUUCCACCGGAAACGACAUAACCAACAGUUCCAAAGGCAUUCGUGCCAAUGGAACGUUGGAAUUAUCCUCUCGUAACGCGUGUACUUCAAUCUUGAGUCACAUCCAUAGGCAAUGAACUGAAGCAACAGCUACGAAUUUCCUUUACUUGCCCGUGCUAUGAUCCAACGAUUUAUCAAGGAAAUUACAGCCUCUUAUCGUUUCGAAAAAAAUUAUCGGUGUAUGUUUACUUAUUAAAAUAUUCGAACAGUUUAUUGCAGUUGAUCUUCCUAUAACCAUGAACAAUAAAUUAUCGAAAUAAUUUAAUUCUUAACCUAGAUUAUUAAAUUUUAUCCAUCUACGCGCGAAAGAUAUAAAAUUGAAAAAUGAGAUUUUUAUAUUUGAUUCCUAAAUAUAUUCGAAACGUGAGAUGGAGAUUUUAAUUUAUAAAAUCUUAAAAUCCGGUUUCUUCGGUUUCUUUGAUCGGUCAGACAUGCGAAUAUACGGGAAAAUAUUAAUCUCUGGUUUAAACGAAAAAUAUCCACUCGACGAGGGAAACGUUAAAUUCUCGCUUUUUUUUUUUCUUUAAUUUUUUUCAAUUAAGAAAAAGUAGAAAUAAAAAAAAUUUAUUUUCCUCUUUACGUAUACAGGAAUUAAUUCUUACAUUUUAUUUUUUAAUCCAACGAUAUCCUGAAUAUUUUUGCACAUAUUUUUUCCAUAUACUAUUUGGAUGAAUUCGUUUUUUUUUUUUUUUGUUUCCACAAAAAUGUUUUUUCCGUAUGAAUAAUAAAGUUCGCGUAGCCGAGGAAGGGAAUGUGUUUAUCGAACAAACGUAAAACGCAGCAAAGUUUUGGAAUAAAUUUUAUCCGAGCAGACUUAAGUUGUUGGAAAAAACAAUUUUUCUCUCGGAUCGAUAUCGGCAACAUUUCUGUCAUCCUUCAAUUUCUAUUAAUUUCUUAAGAAAAAAAUUAACUAUUCGAGAAUGUACAUAAAAAAAUUGCGUUUGACGGAGGAAGAACGGAAUAAAUUAAAAAUUAAUCGAACGGCUCAAUCCAAAAUUUAGCUUUCCCAAGAAAGCCUGAACGUUAAAUUCGUGGAUAGAUAGUGAACAAGUUAGUUUACACGUUGACACGGCAACAAGCUCGGCUCGUAAUUUUAAGCCAUGCAUUUUAAAACAAGUCCUUUCCUUUCAUGGAUAACAUUUUUCGUGGCGAUCCAUGGAUUUACGUAUACGUAUAAGAUAGAAAUGGAAAUUUUGAAAUUCGCGAAAUUUGAAAUCUUUCAAAUAUUUAUUUAUUUUUCUUGCGAAACAUUUAACUUUCGUGCGAGUAUUUUUCUUCAUUUUCUAGUUUCGAAAAAUAAAUUACACAUAUCCAGGAUUAUCGUUUUUAACUUUGUUUCUCUAUUCUCUAUCGAUUAAUAAUUUUAACGAUUUUCUUCUAUAGCCAUUUUUUGAACAAUCUGUAAAAUUGACAACAACGCUCGAUAAAAUCCACCACAUUUAUUUUCGAAUCCCAGCAUCAAUGACCACGAACGAACGAACUUUGUCGCCCUCUCACCGAAGGGUUCUUCGCAAUAAUUACCGCCGGUUCUCGAGGAAAUUAUGCUCGAAAGCGAAAUGGCCGACGCUAAUAUCGUAACACGGUGGUGCAUAAUUAAUGAAAUUAAUAUUGGCUUGGUGGAAGGUUAGUCAGCUGGCUAGCAUUGUGGUUCACCGCGGGUCAACGGACAGUCGCUCUUAUGGGCAGGUUUAUCGAUUAAUUUCGUAAAAUCUACUCUUUCUCUCGAUUCCACUUUACUUUUAUUCUAUUAAUAUCGAUGUAAAACUUUGCAGGCUUGUGUGUACUCGAAAUCAUUUAUAAAUCAAGAGAUGUGUGUAUCUUAAUUUACAUAAUUCUCCGUUUUAAAGAAUUUUCCUCUGCUUGCGUAUAAAUUCAGAAAAAUUUUUCUUGCAAAUUGCAGAAUAUUUUUUCUGGUUAAAAGAAGAGAAAAAUGUCAAUUUUUAACGAUUUAAGCGAGAGUCGUAUUAUUUUCUUGAAGUUAAUUAUUUCGAUAAUUUAUUGUUCUCGAAACUUAAUAAUAAUAAUUGUAGUGUCAAAUGAAAAGCGAAUAAAAUGUUACUCAAGUAA